AACAAUGAAAUUAAACAUCAAGUGCUUGAAUCGUUAUCUUCCAACUUCUGAGAGAGAGAGAGAGAGAAGGGGGGAGGCACAUGACAAUGCGGUCGCACAUGACAACAAUGUAUAUGCUUUAGCACUCAAAUUUCAAAGUUUCACUCUGCUGAGUCAAUGAAAAACUCUCUUGGUUUUAUAGAGAAAUGCUUCAUGAUCUUGCUCAUUAUUUUUCUACUCAGAUUCUGAGUCCAGUGAGUUUUCAAACAAUUGGCUUUUAUUUAACUUGAUCAAGUAUCAAGAAGCCCAUGAAUCACCUCACUUCUAGGCUCAGGUUAAAGAGUGACUUGGAUUUUGUGGAACCCUUAACUCAGGAUUCCGGACACUCACGAAAACUGAUGUAUAACAGGUGGCAGACGACUUAAUGGAUGGACGGUAUCAAAGAAAAUAAGUCUUAAAAGCUUGAUCUAAAGCAAAAACAGCCUAAAUGCACACUAUAGCUUUCGACAGUCAUAACUUUGUGAACCAGUUAUCCUUUUCAUGUGUAUAAUAUGUUGUUGAAAAGCUAUCGAUAAGCUCUACGUUGUGACCAAUUAACCACAGUUCAUUAGCCUCCAUAUGGCUUCGCAAAAUUCAAUCUUUCAGGGCUCAAAUCCAAGUCCGAAGUCAAAACUUGUUAUUUUUAGAAGUUACAUUUUUGCCUAUUUUAAAGGUUUUUAGAGUCCAGUUCCAGUCCAAAGUUUUGUUCGUCCUCUAAGAGUUAUUUUCGAGUUUGGGUUGGAUUAGGUAUACUUUAUUGCUUUUAGUAAUAUUAUUAUUGUUUUAGGAAUCUUUACUAUUUCAGGAAAGCUGUCUAUUUUGAAUCAGUUUAGGAGUCUGUCCCCAUUGCUUAUAUAAGGCAAUUAGGUAUGUUGUAAACAACACUUUCCAUCAUUAAUAUCAAUUUUAUUUCAUCUUAGAGAUUUCUUUUUUCCCUCAUCAUAGGUUCAAGGAUUAUCCUAGGGAAGAAGACAAUAAUCUCUUCCCAUCUAUCCAUGCAUUCACCACACCAGAAACUCAAUCAGAUAUUUGGAAAAUUAAUAUUAUAGUUGAAAAUUCUAAAAAGAACAAAAACUAAA